rnacentral:rRNA from 1 species
AUUGAACGCUGGCGGCGUGCUUAACACAUGCAAGUCGAUCGGUAACAGGUGUAGCAAUACAUGCUGACGAGAGGCGGACGGGUGAGUAAUGCUUGGGAAUCUGCCUAUUAGUGGGGGACAACCCGGGGAAACUCGGGCUAAUACCGCAUACGCUCUACGGAGGAAAGCCGGGGACCGCAAGGCCUGGCGCUAAUAGAUGAGCCCAAGUCGGAUUAGCUAGUUGGUAGGGUAACGGCCUACCAAGGCGACAAUCCGUAGCUGGUCUGAGAGGACGACCAGCCACACCGGAACUGAGACACGGUCCGGACGUCCUACGGGAGGCAGCAGUGAGGAAUAUUGGACAAUGGGGGCAACCCUGNUCCAGCGACGCCGCGUGGGUGAAGAAGGCCUGCGGGUUGUAAAGCCCUUUCGGUGGGGAAGAAAAGUCUCGACCUAAUACGUCGGGACCUUAGACGUAACCCACUAAAGAAGCACCGGCUAACUCUGUCGCC